rnacentral:rRNA from 1 species
AUUGAACGCUGGCGGCAGGCUUAACACAUGCAAGUCGAGCGGAGAGAGGUAGCUUGCUACUGAUCUUAGCGGCGGACGGGUGAGUAAUACUUAGGAAUCUGGCUAUUAGUGGGGGACAACAUUUCGAAAGGGAUGCUAAUACCGCAUACGUCCUACGGGAGAAAGCAGGGGAUCUUCGGACCUUGCGCUAAUAGAUGAGCCUAAGUCGGAUUAGCUAGUUGGUGGGGUAAAGGCCUACCAAGGCGACGAUCUGUAGCGGGUCUGAGAGGAUGAUCCGCCACACUGGGACUGAGACACGGCCCAGACUCCUACGGGAGGCAGCAGUGGGGAAUAUUGGACAAUGGGGGGAACCCUGAUCCAGCCAUGCCGCGUGUGUGAAGAAGGCCUUAUGGUUGUAAAGCACUUUAAGCGAGGAGGAGGGUACUGGUAUUAAUACUACCAGGUACUGGACGUUACUCGCAGAAUAAGUACCGGCUAACUCUGUGCCAGCCGCCGCCGUAA